rnacentral:misc_RNA from 1 species
GGUUGCUAAAACCUCUUUUGUUGCUUUGUUCCAUACAAGUCUAGGGUAACCCUUGGUCUUCUUCAAUCCUGCUUAACUUCCGUACCAAAAUCAAUCCCAACACCUCUUUGCAUUCAAGGGUAAACAAGCCAAAAUCAUCUCAGUCACCCCUUUAUUCGACUUGUCCUCAAUGAUUAGGUUGCUACUUCUAUCUUGCUACAAACAUACUCAUUUCUCAUACAGUCUUUUCUGGUAAUCUCAUAUAUUCAUUUAGCAGUGUUCAU